rnacentral:lncRNA from 1 species
UGCUGUACAGCAUGCGUUCCUUUUUUUGUAGUUACUGGAUGGAUACUGUAUUAAUGAAGUAGAGAUGAGCACAUGCUAAAAAUAUAGCCUCUGUAUAUAGAGAUUAUCAUGCAGUUAGUAUAAUUUGGCAUAUGUGCUAAUAUAAUUAAUAGAAGAUAACUUCAGUGAAUUAUUUUGCUUUUGUAUUUUACUUAAAAUGAAGAUAAUUGAUGG